rnacentral:rRNA from 1 species
UACGUAGGUCCCGAGCGUUGUCCGGAUUUAUUGGGCGUAAAGCGAGCGCAGGUGGUUUAUUAAGUCUGGUGUAAAAGGCAGUGGCUCAACCAUUGUAUGCAUUGGAAACUGGUAGACUUGAGUGUAGGAGAGGAGAGUGGAACUCCAUGUGUAGCGGUGAAAUGCGUAGAUAUAUGGAGGAACACCGGUGGCGAAAGCGGCUCUCUGGCCUGUAACUGACACUGAGGCUCGAAAGCGUGGGGAGCAAACAGG